rnacentral:rRNA from 1 species
CGAACGGGUGAGUAACACGUGGGUGAUCUGCCCUGCACUUCGGGAUAAGCCUGGGAAACUGGGUCUAAUACCGGAUAUGACCUCCUAUCGCAUGGUGGGUGGUGGAAAGAUUUAUCGGUGCAGGAUGGGCCCGCGGCCUAUCAGCUUGUUGGUGGGGUAAUGGCCUACCAAGGCGACGACGGGUAGCCGACCUGAGAGGGUGACCGGCCACACUGGGACUGAGACACGGCCCAGACUCCUACGGGAGGCAGCAGUGGGGAAUAUUGCACAAUGGGCGAAAGCCUGAUGCAGCGACGCCGCGUGAGGGAUGACGGCCUUCGGGUUGUAAACCUCUUUCAGCAGGGACGAAGCGCAAGUGACGGUACCUGCAGAAGAAGCACCGGCUAACUACGUGCCAGCAGCCGCGGUAAUACGUAGGGUGCAAGCGUUGUCCGGAAUUACUGGGCGUAAAGAGUUCGUAGGCGGUUUGUCGCGUCGUUUGUGAAAACCAGCAGCUCAACUGCUGGCUUGCAGGCGAUACGGGCAGACUUGAGUACUGCAGGGGAGACUGGAAUUCCUGGUGUAGCGGUGAAAUGCGCAGAUAUCAGGAGGAACACCGGUGGCGAAGGCGGGUCUCUGGGCAGUAACUGACGCUGAGGAAC